CAUACAAUCCUGAACACACCCAAUCUCGUCUAAUCUCUGAAGCUAAGCAGGGUCAGGCCUGGUUAGUACUUAGAUGGGAGGAUUUGUCCAGUCCUAUAAGGACUUGUGUCACAAGAAAACCUUGGUC
ensembl:rRNA 5S_rRNA 5S ribosomal RNA